GUUCCAGGAAAAGCCACUAAGCUUCAGCUACACACGACCGUACCGCAAACCGACACUGGUGCGCGAGAUGAGUAUUCUAAGGCGCUUGAGAGAACUCAGGAGAAGGAACUCGGCAAAUUGACACCGUAACUUCGGAAGAAGGUGUGCCCUAGUAGUGUGAAGUGAACAACGGAGCAUGAAUGGGUUGCAAAAAAUCGGUGGCUGCGACUGUUUAUUAAAAACACAGCACUCUGCAAACACGAAAGUGGACGUAUAGGGUGUGACGCCUGCCCGGUGCUGGAAGAUUAAAUGAUGGGGUGCAAGCUCUUGAUUGAAGUCCCAGUAAACGGCGGCCGUAACAAUAACGGUCCUAAGGUAGCGAAAUUCCUUGUCGGGUAAGUUCCGACCUGCACGAAUGGCGUAACGAUGGCCACACUGUCUCCUUCUGAGACUCAGCGAAGUUGAAAUGUUUGUGAUGAUGCAAUCUCCCCGCGGAAAGACGGAAAGACCCCAUGAACCUUUACUGUAGCUUUGUAUUGGACUUUGAACAGAUCUGUGUAGGAUAGGUGGGAGGCUUUGAAGCAGGGUCGCUAGAUCUUGUGGAGCCAACGUUGAAAUACCACCCUGGUGUGUUUGAGGUUCUAACCUAGGUCCAUUAUCUGGAUCGGGGACAGUGCAUGGUAGGCAGUUUGACUGGGGCGGUCUCCUCCCAAAGCGUAACGGAGGAGUUCGAAGGUACGCUAGUUACGGUCGGACAUCGUGACGAUAGUGCAAUGGCAUAAGCGUGCUUAACUGCGAGACUGACAAGUCGAGCAGAUGCGAAAGCAGGACAUAGUGAUCCGGUGGUUCUGUAUGGAAGGGCCAUCGCUCAACGGAUAAAAGGUACUCUGGGGAUAACAGGCUGAUACCGCCCAAGAGUUCAUAUCGACGGCGGUGUUUGGCACCUCGAUGUCGGCUCAUCUCAUCCUGGGGCUGUAGCCGGUCCCAAGGGUAUGGCUGUUCGCCAUUUAAAGAGGUACGUGAGCUGGGUUUAAAACGUCGUGAGACAGUUUGGUCCCUAUCUUCCGUGGGCGCUGCAGAUUUGAGGAAGCCUGCUCCUAGUACGAGAGGACCGGAGUGGACACACCUCUGGUGUAUCGGUUGUCACGCCAGUGGCAUUGCCGAGUAGCUAAGUGUGGAAGAGAUAACCGCUGAAAGCAUCUAAGCGGGAAACUCGUUUCAAGAUGAGAUCUGCCGGGGCCUUGAGCCCCCUGAAGAGUCGUUCAAGACCAGGACGUUGAUAGGUCAGGUGUGGAAGCGCAGUAAUGCGUUAAGCUAACUGAUACUAAUUGCUCGUGCGGCUUGACCCU
rnacentral:rRNA from 1 species